GAGACAUAACAGCUGCCCGAGCUGCAGGUGACUGGGCAUGACUCCGCUCCCCCCCUCCCAAUAAACCAAAGGGGAUUCCGUCCCCUCCAUCCUGACUCCUCCAAUUAGCUCACGGGGAAGGGGGCAAGACAAGCCAAUGAAAUGCCAGCAAGCCCGGAGAGUCCUAUUAGGAUGAGCCAAUAGAAGGGAGAGAGGAGGCUGCAGAUCCGCCCCCACACAGCUCCAUUCUGAAAUAAACCAGCUGUGGCCAGAUGUGCAGAACAGCUGGGAGGAAGUAGACCAAGGCAUUCGCAGUAAGCUGUCGGUUUGCAAACCUUUCUGCAUAGAGGGACAGUGGUGGUGGGGUUGUAAAGCAACUUUCCCGAAAUGUAACAGCCACUUCGCUAUCUGGUCGAGUUCCAGACAUUGGCUCUGCUGCUGUUGGUCUGCCCUCAAUGUGAAACCAGCUCUGUGCUGCUUCCAGUCCAGUCAAGCCCUGCUGUGACGUCAGCUCUGCACUGCCACCACUGGUCCAGCCCUGUUGUUACUGUGAAGUCAGCUCUGAACCACUCCUCUGCCAGUCCAGUCCAGUCCUUCUGAAUCAAUCUCUAACUGGGAGACUAUAGCAAAACAGGGCCUUUGGAGAGAGUGCUUGGUUCCUGGAACAGAAACCUCUUCUUGCUGAGCUCAGCCUUGCCAGCUUACUAUUUUUUUUUGGCGAGUAAUGGAAUUUUGGAUGGGCUGGAGCCCAUCUGCUGAUGACAGGAGAAGCUCCAACUCUCUAGCAAAUUUCAGCCUGGCCUGAGAGAAACCCUGCCUGGUUGGCUGCUUUCCGCCUUUGGGCACCUCCUGAGAAAGAGUAGCCAAUCAGGGCUACUGCAGCGCUCUCUCUCCUGCUUCCCUCAGCAAGGAGAGAGGGAAGGAGGGAGCAGAAAGACCUCGGCAAGCUCAGGGCGGCUCCACUCCCUCCUCCCUCAGCCCUCUUGUGAACAACAGGAGAGCUCCUCUUUCUGCGCCCUCCCUUGCUGCAACAUCCCCCCUGAGAAGGGGCAGAGGGGGUUGAAGAGCUCCUGGAAGUGUUCCCCCAGCCUGAAAGGGAUAGAGGGGACCCCACUGCAGCUGGCCCCCAGGCCUGGGAGCAGGGGGUAAAGAACCCCAGGAGGAACAGAGUACAUGUCGACAGAGUUAGCAGAAGCUGGGAGCUCGCAGAAUCAGUCGACUGAGCUGCCUUUGUGUUAGAAGACAGGGAUUUAUCUAUACUAUGGGUAUAUAUGUCAUGAGUGAAAUCAACAAUAUCCGUAUGGAGAGCCACACAGGGAAGUCAUUCAGAGUCUCUGGGGGUUUAUUAAUUAACAAAAUAACUUUAUCAUCAAAUCCACAGCCCAAAGACACAACAACUGUGUUUUUACUUACUUUUCUUGUAAGAUGAAAGUGAUAAUACAUUCUUCACAGAGGUCAUCAAAAAUCCAAACAAGGUAGUAGAUCUAACCUGUGCUCACAGAUUGGUGGAUAAAACUCGUGCUGCCAAGCUUGAGCUUACUGUGUUGUAAAAGACAUCAGAACCAAAGGGAAGAAGGAGUUUAAACAAGACUUUUGGGAAAUAAGAGCUACCCUACAUAAGAGUUGCUAUGUGGGAGUGUGAAGGAGCGUACUAUCCAUUUAAGGGACAGACUGGAGCCGAAAGCCUGGGAUGUAAUCAAGAAGGUCCUGCCAUGCCCUGCCUUAGGGCUGGGCUCUAUAAACAGGAAGAGGAAACUGACCAAGGGAGAAGGGAAUAGAAGCUGUGCAGAAUACAUGGGUUGUUUCCUCUCAGGCUCUAGACUAGUCUAACUAGAAACCUUGUUUGUGAACAUUAAGUUUGGGAGUUGAACUAGGGCCCUAAUGUGAGGACCUUAUGAACUGUGUAUUGUGCUUUCUCCUGUCCUUAAACUGUAUUAAAAGGGGAUGUCCCAUUUGUUAGUGAAUGUUGACUUCCCCUUUCCCCAGCCCCCAGGCUGUUGAAAUGAACUCAUUGUUGCCCCAAUUGGGUGAAAUUAAGAUGGGGUACACACACAGGGACUGUGAAUGCUUUUACAUGUGGUGCCUGAAUAGGGACUUAUGAACCCCCUCCCAUUAAGGAGAGAUGAGAAUGCAGAUAGGUGCCUACACUAUCCUUGGAUGUGAGAUGUCUGAACUCCCAGACUCGUGGAUAGAGCAACAGCGACUAACCCAAUGUUCUGGUCCCAGGUUUGGAGAGCACUCAGCAGCGCAUGGACAGGCCAGACCAUCACAAACACCAAAAGGGAAGAACACAUGCGUUCCUGCCACUCAGGUGCAUGGACUGAGGGCACUGAGAUAACUGGGGAGGUCAGGACUAUUAAGGAUACUGGGACCCAGAGUGCAGGGACCCAGACAGCUGAACAAAGACCUGAGGGAAUGCAGUUUUGGGCUAGGAAGAGUGAUACACUGAGGAUAACUUGUUUUAAGGUGUGGGGUAGUGAGGCAGUUGGAAGAUGCCAUCAAGAACUCUUGAAGGUAAGCCUAGAAACACCGCUUCAGGGACAGACCUGAAUAAAAACGAAGAUUCUUCAACCAGUCAGACCCUCUCAGAGGUCCAGAGAGGCCAAGGUCACUUCCAGCUUUUGAGGCCCCUAGCCAUAAUAAAAAUAAAAAAUGACAUGAAAACAAAAUAAGGCACCAAAAAAAGAGACAUAAUUUGAAUAUUUUUUUAACAAAUGCUUUUCUAGCCUUUUUCUGUGCCAAUGCACUAAUUAUUGAGGGAAAAAAUCUAGCUUUCGUGGAAUGUCUCAGUUGAUAUUAAGCAUGGCGAGCCCAUUCAAAUGCUCUUGUCCCAUAGUUGAACGGUGAUAGUUCUUUACCUGCUUCAACACAUUGAAGGUGUAUUCACCUAAAGCCACUGAUGCAGGCAAACUGACAGAAAUACACAAUGCAAUUGUGAUAUUAGUAAACACCCCAGAGAGUCCAAGCUCGAGUAUUUCUUGAAGCAAUUCCUUUGGGUUGCAAUCCAGUUUAAAGUUUGUGGAAUAUAUUCGUUUAAGGAAGAUGAUCUCAUCACUGAGAUCUUUUGAGAUUUCUUUGUUGUACUGUUGCUGAAAUGGUUCAGCUGCAGAAAGUAGAUCUUCAUUACCCAAUCUGUUGAACUGCCAAAGAAACCCCAAAAGGUUACAAAUUAGUCACAUUGACUCAAAUCGACAUGUAAGCCCUGAUUGAAUAGAGUCAAUGAUGACAAGGAAGACAUUAACCCUAUAAUGCUGCUCGGCAUCGGAUUCACUAGAUAAGUUGCAGUUGGUGGAGAACUGAGAUGAAAUGCCAAUAUUCUGUGUUACUAAUUUGGACUCAGGAUCGCAUCCCAUUGUUCACAAAUCUGUUGAAUGUCAUUGAUAAGACUUUCAAUGUUAUCCCUCUCAACAUCAAGUGUAGCAUUGCCUGCUUCAUUUACCAGAUUAAAUGUAGAUUAAUGUUCGGUGGAUCAUUGUAUGUAGCUUCAUCCACAAAGAUGACAUCAGAAUGCAUUCAGUCUCUUCAGAAGCACAUGUCCAAAUUUGAAGUUCAGUUUGAGCCUGUGCAGUGAGAUUGAGAUACAAGCUCAUUUAAAGCCUUUCUCACUGAAUUCAAAUGCUGCGCAACUAGUUGAACACCAUUACUCCAUGCAGACCAUCUAGUUUUGAACAUCCCAUGCAGUGAAACAGGAAGAUAUUCCUUCAGAAUUUCCCACCUUUGUGGACUGCUACUGAAGAGAUUGUACAUUUGCUGAACAGUUCCAAAGUAAGUAAUUGACUCCUUGCAUGAUUCAGCACAGUGUUAGGAUAUAGAUAUUCAGGCCUGUCUGUAAAAGGCCUAAACUCUAAGAAUUUAGGUGUAUUCUUAUCACUUAGCUAGUUAUAGAGGUAUAAAAGAGAGAACCAAAAUCAUUGUCUGACUGUAUAAGGCCUUUUCUCACUGUGACAGUCUGAGGCCCUGUUCUUAGGUUUAGGGCUCUGGCUAAGCAGCAGAGGCAGCCAUAAGCUGGGAAGCGAAUGGUCACAUCUUUACAUUCCAAACUAGUCACAUUGAAAUAAGGUGCUAUUGGGCGGUUAGGAAUACAAUCCUGUCCUGAUAGUGCCUAUCACCUCCAGAGAAAAGGAAGUGCCUAGAAAAUGUAAAAGGAAACUUAGUUUGAUAGCACCCUGCCUGGCAAGAACUCACCUAUCAAUAGCUGGGAUGUGAAAUCCUCAUUUUUGUGUUUGUUCUAUCAUUGUAGUCCCCAUUUCCUAUUGUUCGUCUGUAUAAUCUCUGUUUGGUUCUGUGGUUGUUUCUGUCUGCUGUAUAAUUAAUUUUGCUGGGUGUAAACUAAUUAAAGUGGUGGGAUAUAAUUGGUUAAAUAAUCAUGUUACAAUAUGUUAGGAUUGGUUAGUUAAAUUUCAGUAAAAUGAUUGGUUAAGGUAUAGCUAAGCAGAACUCAAGUUUUACUAUAUAGUCUGCAGUCAAUCAGAAAGUAAGGGGGGGAAUGGGAACAGGGAAUGGUGGUGGGGAAAUUGGAAUCAUGUUUUGCUAAGGGGGAGAAUGGGAACAGGGACACAGGUAAGGCUCUGUGGUGUCAGAGCUGGGAAGGGGGACGCUAAGGAAGGAAACUGGAAUCAUACUUGCUGGAAGUUCACCCCAGUAAACAUCGAAUUGUUUGCACCUUUGGACUUUGGGUAUUGUUGCUCUCUGUUCAUGCAAGAAGGACCAGGGAAGUAAGCGGGUGAAGGAAUAAGCCUCUAACAUCAACAUCUACAAGGUUUAGUGUGUGGUUUCCACAGCUGGAGAAAAUACAGUUUGAAUUAUGUUCGAGCAGAAAUGCUUGUACACCUUUGUACUUCCCAGCCAUAUUAGAUCCAUUGUCAGAGGCUUGACCAAUGCAGACUUGAAAAUCUAACUUGAAACCUUCUAGAAUUGCUAGUACCUUAGCAGCAAUUUCUUUUCCAGUUUUUCUCUUGAAAUUAUCAAACAAAAUAAACCUUUCUUCAACUGAAAAUUUUGAGCUGUCUACAAUCUUAACAUAUCAAAUAACCAUAGUGGUCUGUUCCUUGUGAGAACAAUCUGGAGUGGCAUCACCAUGAUUGACAAAUAUUUGGCAUUUAGAAUCUCAUCAAGAAUUGUUGUUUGUACGACCGACCCACAUAGCUCAAUAAAGUCAUUUUGUUCUAUUUGUGUGGAGAGAUAAUGGACUUGCAUGCACUUUUGACUCUCUUGUGAUUCUCGAACAUGUUUAACAUGCCCUGAUAAAAGUGGGUCAUAUUUGCUGAGGAGCUCAACUAUGCCUAGAAAUUUUCCAU